rnacentral:ncRNA from 1 species
AAAUCAGCGUUGAUGAAGAGUAGUAGCUAUUUAAAUUUGUCAUAGAGAGCUAGUGGUUGGUGGAAACUAGUACAAAUGAAUGGUGAAUGGACUUCGGAGCUCUAAUCCUGAACGACAGUAGGGAUUAGCGUAUGCCUACGUUAUAAGGCUUCAAGAGGGUCUUCUAAAUUGGAGACCAAUGAAGGUGGCACCACGGCUUUUCCGUCCUUUUG